rnacentral:rRNA from 1 species
GGAGAUGGGAGCUUGCUCCCUGAUGUUAGCGGCGGACGGGUGAGUAACACGUGGGUAACCUGCCUGUAAGACUGGGAUAACUCCGGGAAACCGGGGCUAAUACCGGAUGCUUGAUUGAACCGCAUGGUUCAAUUAUAAAAGGUGGCUUUUAGCUACCACUUACAGAUGGACCCGCGGCGCAUUAGCUAGUUGGUGAGGUAACGGCUCACCAAGGCAACGAUGCGUAGCCGACCUGAGAGGGUGAUCGGCCACACUGGGACUGAGACACGGCCCAGACUCCUACGGGAGGCAGCAGUGGGA